UACGUAGGCAGCAAGCGUUGUUCGGAAUUAUUGGGCGUAAAGAGCUCGUAGGCGGUUUGUUGCGUCGGCUGUGAAAACCCGGGGCUCAACUCCGGGCCUGCAGCCGAUACGGGCAGACUAGAGUUCGGCAGGGGAGACUGGAAUUCCUGGUGUAGCGGUGAAAUGCGCAGAUAUCAGGAGGAACACCGGUGGCGAAGGCGGGUCUCUGGGCCGAUACUGACGCUGAGGAGCGAAAGCGUGGGGAGCGAACAGG
rnacentral:rRNA from 1 species